CAUCAUUUACUAACUGGGGGCAUAUAAAAUGAACAUGACAGUCUAUAGCCCCAGCUGUCAAAAUCAAGCCCUCUCCAGCAAUAACUUCAGUAUUAGCCUAGAUAUGAGGGGUGUAUUUGUAAGUGGUAUCACAAUAAUGAGGUAGGAAUUCAGCUCAUUGCCUAUGAUAUCUAGAAGGGAACUUACCCCAAUUAUCAUAUUCUGAGAUACAUCAUUCAUAAUGUGUGGAUUUCCUGCUUUUCCAAUUGAGAAAAUCAAUCCAUUUUUAAUACCGAUAUCUGCUUUGAUAAUUCCGGUAUAAUCAAUGAUCACAGCAUUUGUUAUAACAGUAUCCAAGGAAUCCUUAGGGAAAUGACCACAUGAUUGACCCAUUCCAUCUCUUAUG
rfam:Vigna angularis cultivar Jingnong 6 chromosome 3, whole genome shotgun sequence.